rnacentral:rRNA from 1 species
UACGAAGGGUGCAAGCGUUAAUCGGAAUUACUGGGCGUAAAGGGUGCGUAGGCGGUUGUUUAAGUCUGUCGUGAAAUCCCCGGGCUCAACCUGGGAAUGGCGAUGGAUACUGGGCAGCUAGAGUGUGUCAGAGGAUGGUGGAAUUCCCGGUGUAGCGGUGAAAUGCGCAGAUAUCAGGAAGAACACCCGUGGCGAAAGCGGCUCUCUGGAACGGUACUGACGCUGAGACGCGAAAGCGUGGGGAGCGAACAGG